GGGGGAGUAGCUCAGCUGGGAGAGCGCUGCGUUCGCAAUGCAGAGGUCGGGAGUUCGAUCCUCCUCUUCUCCACCA
rnacentral:tRNA from 13 species